rnacentral:rRNA from 1 species
AGUGAACGCUGGCGGCAGGCCUAAUACAUGCAAGUCGAACGGCAGCACAGCAGAGCUUGCUCUGUGGGUGGCGAGUGGCGGACGGGUGAGGAAUACGUGGGAAUCUGCCCAGUCGUGGGGGAUAACGUAGGGAAACUUACGCUAAUACCGCAUGCGCCCUUCGGGGAAAGCCGGGGACCUUCGGGCCUGGCGCGAUUGGAUGAGCCCACGUCGGAUUAACUAGUUGGCGGGGUAAAGGCCCACCAAGGCGACGAUCCGUAGCUGGUCUGAGAGGAUGAUCAGCCACACUGGAACUGAGACACGGUCCAGACUCCUACGGGAGGCAGCAGUAGGGAAUAUUGGACAAUGGGCGCAAGCCUGAUCCAGCCAUGCCGCGUGAGUGAAGAAGGCCCUCGGGUUGUAAAGCUCUUUUGUCCGGAAAGAAAGCGCCGGGUUAAUACCCUGGUGUCCUGACGGUACCGGAAGAUAAGCACCGGCUAACUUCGUGCCAGCAGCCGCGGUAAU